rnacentral:tRNA from 1 species
GGGGAGAUACUCAAGCGGCCAACGAGGGCAGACUGUAAAUCUGCUGUCUUUCGACUUCGCAGGUUCGAAUCCUGCUCUCCCCACUA